AGAGCGAACGCUGGCGGCAGGCCUAACACAUGCAAGUCGAGCGCCCGUAGCAAUACGGGAGCGGCAGACGGGAUAGUAACACGUGGGAACGCGCCCUUCGGUUCGGAAUAACUCAGGGAAACUUGAGCUAAUACCGAAUACGCCCUUACGGGGAAAGAUUUAUUGCCGAAGGAACGGCCCGCGUCCGAUUAGCUAGUUGGUGAGGUAAUGGCUCACCAAGGCUACGAUCGGUAGCUGGUCUGAGAGGAUGACCAGCAUCACUGGGACUGAGACACGGCCCAGACUCCUACGGGAGGCAGCAGUGGGGAAUAUUGGACAAUGGGCGCAAGCCUGAUCCAGCCAUGCCGCGUGGAUGAUGAAGGCCUUAGGGUUGUAAAGUCCUUUUAACGGGAAGAUAAUGACGGUACCCGUAGAAUAAGCCCGGCUAACUCGUGCCAGCAGCCGC
rnacentral:rRNA from 1 species